AACCGACACAGGUAGGCGAGGAGAGAAUCCUAAGGUGAUCGAGAGAACUCUCGUUAAGGAACUCGGCAAAAUGACCCGUAACUUCGGGAGAAGGGGUGCUCUGGUAGGGUGUAUAGCCCGAGAGAGCCGCAGUGAAUAGGCCCAGGCGACUGUUUAGCAAAAACACAGGUCUCUGCGAAGCCGCAAGGCGAAGUAUAGGGGCUGACGCCUGCCCGGUGCUGGAAGGUUAAGAGGAGGGGUUAUCCUUUGGGAGAAGCUCUGAAUCGAAGCCCCAGUAAACGGCGGCCGUAACUAUAACGGUCCUAAG
rnacentral:rRNA from 1 species